CACUGCCUGAGUGGAGGGCAGAGGCUUCCUCCUGUCCCCUGACCCAGCUGCCCCUGCUAGGAUCACCUCUGAUGAGACCCGAUAUCCUGUCCCUGCCUACCAAGCACAAGAAGGAAAGUCAUCCCCUAUCCAAGAGGGUAUCUGACACCCUGGUAGACUGGAACUCUACAUACACCAUGUUUUCCUUGAUGACCACAGGAUGGAAAUCAGGAGAGGGAAGGUAGACAAUGCAGGCAUUGUGACUUGCCAUUCGGAUGUGACAUGAACAUUUGAACAUUUCACUGUGACGGUCACUCUGAUAACCAAGACAGCUACCAAGAGGGCAACAGAUCGGCAGCAUGUACAGUGAGGAUGCUCUGGACAGAAGGACAACAUAUGUGCCAGGGAGGAGAGAAGGGACAGCACAAGACUUCAUCCCGCCACUCAGAAAGGCAUGCAGUUUAAAACCCAUCGAUUAUUCCUGGAAUUUUCCAUUUAAUGUGCUUGGACUAGAAUGGACUGUGGUUAACUGAAACUGCAGAAAGACAACCACAGAUACAGACAGACUACUUUCCUCCAGUUUCAAAGUUCAUAUCCAGGAGAAGACAGGGCCUAGUUUUACAGGCAAGAGGGUUGAGGUCACCGAGGGCCCACAGAGGCGAAGAGCCACACCCACACCCCAAAGUCGACUCACAGAUUCUUCUGAGUACAGGGAAGGUGACAACCAGCUGGCCCAGGAGCAGUGGGGAGGCCCAGGCACCACUGCCAGGACAGAGCCUGCCCUCCAGUUGCUGAGCUGCUGUGACCAGAGGGAGGCAGCACAAGGAUUCAGCCUCCUGCGCUGGAGGGAAAAAGGCAUAAAAAGUGAAAACAUCAAAGUAGCAUCAAAGGACAAGCUGUGCCAGCUUUCACACCCUCCUGGCUCCAGCUUCUCACCUGUUUCUGAUCAGUUGGAACAAGGACCCCUCCCCCAGGCCUCCUGCCUUAGGAAGCUGGGACCAGAGCACCUACCUUUCCUCCUUCAGGCUUCUGCUCCCCUCCCCAUUGCUGUGGAGUGAUGGUCCCUGCUGGAGCACGGCAGGGGUGCCCUGCACAAUAGAUGAAGGCUUGUUGCGCUCGCAGGCCACUCAGCAGCUUCAGGGCCAGGUCACAGCCUCACUCUUAGGUGAACAAAUGGCAGAGAAGCAGCCUGCUGCUGGUGAGGUCUGUCUGUCCCAGAGCGCACUGACACACAGCAGACACUCUCCAGUCCAUGGGCACCCCACACACUGAAGCUGUCACACACACUGAAGUCAAAGGCCCAGCGUGGACUUGGUGACACUGGACCUCAC
rnacentral:lncRNA from 1 species